rnacentral:rRNA from 1 species
GAGCGGAUGACGGGAGCUUGCUCCUUCUAUUCAUCGGCAGACGGGUGAGUAAUGCCUAUGAAUCUGACUGUUACUGGGGGACGACGUUUCCAAAGGAACGCUGAUACCGCAUACGUCCUACGGGAGAAAACCGGGGACCUUCAGGCCUUGCGCUAUCACAUGAGCCUAUGUCCGAUUAGCUAUUUGGUGGGGUAAUGGCUCACCAACGCCACGAUCCGUAACUGGUCUGAGACGAUGAUCAUUCACACUGGAACUGAAACACAGUCCAGACUCCUACUGGAGGCAGCAGUGGGGAAUAUUGGACUAUGGGCGAAAGCCUGAUCCAGCCAUGCCGCGUGUGUGAAUAAGGUCUUCGGAUUGUAAAGCACUUUAACUUGGGAGGAAGGGCAGUAAGCUAAUACCUUGCUGUUUUGACGUUACCGACAGAAUAAGCACCGGCUAACUCUGUG